rnacentral:rRNA from 1 species
AUUGAACGCUGGCGGCAGGCCUAACACAUGCAAGUCGAGCGGAUGAAGGGAGCUUUCUCCUGGCUUCAGCUGCCGACGGGCGAGUAAUGCCUAGGAAUCUGCCUGGUAGUGGGGGCUAACGUCCGGUAAGGGGCGCUAAUACCGCAUCCGUCCUGAGGGUGAAAGUGGGGGAUCUUCGGACCUCACGCUAUCUGAUGAGCCUAGGUCGGAUUAGCUAGUUGGUGGGGUAAAGGCCUACCAAGGCGACGAUCCGUAACUGGUCUGAGAGGAUGAUCAGUCACACUGGAACUGAGACACGGUCCAGACUCCUACGGGAGGCAGCAGUAGGGAAUAUUGGGCAAUGGGCGAAAGCCUGAUCCAGCCAUGCCGCGUGUGUGAAGAAGGUCUUCGGAUUGUAAAGCACUGUUAGUUGGGAAGAAGGGCAGUAAGUUAAUACCUGGCUGUUUUGACGUUACCAACAGAGUAAGCACCGGCUAACUUCGUG